AUUGAACGCUGGCGGCAGGCUUAACACAUGCAAGUCGAGCGGAGCGAGGGUGCUUGCACCUUAGCUUAGCGGCGGACGGGUGAGUAAUGCUUAGGAAUCUGCCUAUUAGUGGGGGACAACAUUCCGAAAGGAAUGCUAAUACCGCAUACGCCCUACGGGGGAAAGCAGGGGAUCUUCGGACCUUGCGCUAAUAGAUGAGCCUAAGUCGGAUUAGCUAGUUGGUGGGGUAAAGGCCUACAAAGGCGACGAUCUGUAGCGGGUCUGAGAGGAUGAUCCGCCACACUGGGACUGGGACACGGCCCAGACUCCGACGGGAGGCAGCAGUGGGGAAUAUUGGACAAUGGGCGGAAGCCUGAUCCAGCCAUGCCGCGUGUGUGAAGAAGGCCUUUUGGUUGUAAAGCACUUUAAGCGAGGAGGAGGCUACUUAGAUUAAUACUCUGGGACAGUGGACGUUACUCGCAGAAUAAGCACCGGCUAACUCUGUGCCAGCCGCCGCAGUAA
rnacentral:rRNA from 1 species